CUUAGAAGGAGGAGAGGUUUAUUUUGCUAUUUUGCUAAUAGGUUCAGCAGUUUCAGUUCACGACCAGUUGGUCUACUGCCCUUGGAUCAGGCAAGGCAGAACAUUUUGGUGGAAGCAUGCGAUGGAGCAAAGAUGCUCACCUCACAGAAGCCAGGAAGCAAGGUAGGAAGGGGCUAGGGUUCCAAAAUUACCUUCAAGGGCAUGCCCCAAGACCUAACUUCUUCCCACCAAGCCCCACUUCUCAAUAGCAGAUCACCACUUCCCAAUAGAGCAUAGGCUGAUAAGCAAAUCUUUAACAUAUGGGUCUUUGGGGGAACAUUCAAAGUCCAAACUAUAGCAAUUCCUGGUGGCCAAUAUUUUUAAUUGCAAUGUAGAAAUGAAAUUAAUGUGUUGUUAAUGUGGAAAAAUCAUUAAUGAUAACAUAUCAUUAAUGUUGUAGAGUACAAUCAGAGGUAGAAAUCAUCUGCUGGUUAUCUCAUCACAUCUUGGGUAGCAAAAUUCAAUGUGCAGAGAGACACUUCAUAAAUGUCUCUGAAUGAAUUACUGUUUGUAAUAACUCAAAGAAUGUGUUGGAAGGGAUCUUAGCCAUCAUUAAUCCAGUGGGAUCUGUAGGAAAGGGGUCCAGAGGAUAUUAGUAAACAUUAGUAUGAAAAGACUAACCUGACAUAGUGGUACACACCUGUAAUCUCAGCUACUUGGGAAGCUGAAGCAGGAGGAUCACAAGUUCAGGAUAGCCUGGAAAACUUAGUGGAAUCCUGACUCAAAAUAAACUCAAAGGAGCUGGGAGUGUAACUCAGUGGUAGAGUGCUUGCCUAGCAUGUGUGAGGACUUUAAUGCAAUUUCUAUAAAGAUCCCAAUGAUAUUCUUCACAAAAAUAAACAGGCAAUCAUGAAAUUCAUUUGGAAAAAUAAGAGACUCAGAGUAGCCAAAGCAAAUCUUAUCAUGAAAAGUGACACAGGAGACUUCAUAAUACCAGACCUUAAAUUAUACUACAGAGCUAAAGUAAUAAAAACAGCAUGGUACUGGCACCAAAAGAGAUAUGAAGACCAAUGGAACAGAAGAGGAGACACACUUUCAUGAAUACAGUUAUCUCCAUACUAGACAAAGGUGCCAAAAACAUACAUUGGAGAAAAGAUAGCCUCUUCAAAAAAUGGUGCUGGAAAAAUUGGAAAUACAUAUGUAAAAGAAUGAAAUUGAACCCCUAUAUCUCACCCUGCACAAAAUGUAACUCUAAGUGGAUCAAGGACCUAGGCAUUAGACCAGAGACCCUGUACUUACUAUAGGAAAAAGUAGGCCCAACUCUCCAACAUGUUGGCUUAGAAACAGACUUCCUCAAUAAGACUCCUAAAGUGCAAGAAGCAAAAUCAAGAAUCAACAAAUGGGAUGGAUUCAAACCAAAAAGCUCCUUCACAGCAAAGGAAACAGUCAAUAAUGUGAAGAGAGAUCCUACAGAAUGGGAGAAAAUCUUUACCACCAGUACCUUAGAUAAGACAUUAAUUUUCAGCAUAUAUAAAGCACUCAAAAAACUUAACACCAGAAAAAUAAAUAACCCAAUCAAUAAAUGGGCCAAGGAACUGAACAGACACUUCACACAGAAGAAGAAAUAUGAAUGGUCAAAAAAUAUUGAAAAAAAAUGUUCAACAUCUCUAGCAAUUAGAGAAAUGCAAAUUAAAACUACACUGAGAUUUCAUUUCACUUCAGUCAGAAUGGCAAUUAUAAAGAAUACAAGUAAUAGUAAAUGUUGGCAAGGAUGUGGGGAGAAAGGUACAUUGUUGGUGGGACUGCAAAUUGGUGCAACCACUAUGGAAAGCAGUAUAGAGAUUCCUUAGAAAACUUGGAAUAGAACCAUCCUUUGACCCAGUUAUCCCACUCCUUGGUUUAUACCCAAAGGACUUAAAAUCAGCCUACUAUAGUGAUGCAGCCAUAUCAACAUUUAUAGCACUCAACUCACAAUAGCCAAGCUAUGGAAAAGCCUAGGUGUCCUUCAAUGGAUGAAUGGAUAAAGAAAAUGUGGUAUAUCUACACAAUAGAAUAAUACUUAGCCAAAAAGAGGAAUGAAAUAAUGGCAUUUGCCAAUAAAUGGAUGAAAUGGGAGACUAUUAUGUAAGUGAAAUAAGCCAAUCCCCCAAAAAAAACCAAAGGCCAAAUAUUCUCUCUGAUUUGUGGAUGCUAAACCAAAAAAAGGGAGGUUGGGGAGGGGAAUAAUAGAAAUCCAUUGGAUUAGACAAAAGGAAACAAAGAGGGAGGGAAAUAAGAAAGACAGUACAAUUAAUCAGACAUAACUUUCCUAGCCUUAUAUUUGAAUACACAAUCAGGGUAAAUCCACAUCAUGUACAACCACAAGCAUAGGAUCCUAGAUAGAAUUAAUUAUAUUCCAUGUAUGUAUAAUUUGCCAAAAUACAUUCUGUUGUUGCAUAGAACUAAAAAGAACAAAUUUUUUUUUAAAUUGACAUAAGAUAUUAAUAAAACCUUUUAAAAAAAAUGAAAAAAACAAAACCAAAACUCUGUUCUCUGUUAAAGCCACCAUACAAUAAGACAUUUUGUUGUUGUUUUUAAACAAAAAGUCUGACCAGUCAAGGAACUUUUCCUCCCGAAUGGUUAGUUUUGUUUUGUUUUUCCUUUCAGUACUGGGGUUCAGUACUGGGCUUUGCACAUGCUAGGCCUGCACUCUGCCACUGAGCUACAUCCCCAGUCCUAUAAAUUUUUUUUUAAUCUUUACUAUACAUAAGGUUCUCAUUUUCACAAUUCUAAUGUAACGCUAUAUGUAAAUUUAAACAUACACAAACAUCUGUGAAAUGAAAAAUUUAAACCUUUUAAUUUUAGCUUUCAGAUAUAUUAACUGUAUCUUUAAUGCACAUAAGACUCUGGGCACACUGUAUCUAAUUUCUCACCAUAAUUUGAACAUUAGAAAGAUCAAAUACAUGCUGCUUAUUUGUACCACUUUCAUCAUUUCUGCUUUAUGACCUUUAAUCUUUUAGAAAGUGCAGAUAAUCAAAGAUUUCAGAGAGUCAAAAUUUAACCACAAAUUAAUUUAAUAUUCGUCCAAGCUCUAAGGAUCUUAGAUUCAUAUUUAAGUUGGAGUAAAUUGGAUUAACACAAUUGCUACUGGUAUUAAAAGUUAGAUGGCAUUUUAAAAGUUUUUAGUAAGUGUAAAAAUUAAAUUUAUUUGCAGUAGUGUUUGAAGCUUAUAAGAUACAAUCCUUUUAAAAGAUAAUAGUUGUUAUAAUUUAAUUUAAUCAAGCAUAUGUUUAUGUUUUUGUGACCUUAACUAUUAUGUAGAAAGAAUAACUUAUCUGACCCAUUAAACUGUCAAGAAAUAUAUAGAGUUAAUUAGUUUUUGGGUUUUUUUUUUUUUUUUUUAGGAAUCAUAAAACCUCAAGCCUUAAAGGAAAAGAAUGUACACUUUAAACUUAUUUUACCUUAUAAUAAACUCAGCAGGAGAAGAUAGCUUUACUGAGAUACAAUUCACAUAUGAUACAGUUCACCCAAUGAUUUUUAGAAUAUUCAUGGAUCUUGGCAGCCAUCAUCACAGUCAACUUUAGAACAUUUUCAUCACCUCAAAAAGAGACCUUGUAAAGAUGGUGGAAUGAGAUGGACAUCAUUACCCUAGGUACAUGUAUGACUGCACAUAUGGUGUGACGCUACCUGUGUACAACCGGAGAAAUGAAAAGUUGUGCUGCAAUUGUGUACAAUGAAUCAAAAUGCAUUCUGCUG
rnacentral:lncRNA from 1 species